rnacentral:rRNA from 1 species
ACGCUCGACACCUACGUGAGGCAGCAGUGAGGAAUAUUGGUCAAUGGGCGCAGGCCUGAACCAGCCAAGUAGCGUGAAGGAUGACUGCCCUAUGGGUUGUAAACUUCUUUUAUAUGGGAAUAAAGUUUUCCACGUGUGGAAUUUUGUAUGUACCAUAUGAAUAAGGAUCGGCUAACUCCAUGCCAGCAGCCGCGGUAAUCUGAGCGGGCUGGCAAGGC